rnacentral:rRNA from 1 species
UACGUAGGGUGCGAGCGUUGCCCGGAUUUAUUGGGCGUAAAGGGCGCGCAGGCGGCUACGCACGUCCGUUGUGAAAUCGCUCGGCUCAACUGGGCGGGGUCAGCGGAUACGGCGUGGCUGGAGCAAGCUAGGGGGCAAUGGAAUUCCCGGUGUAGUGGUGGAAUGCGUAGAUAUGAUGUAGAACACCGAUUGCGAAGGCAGCUCACUAAAUUGUAACUGACGCUGAGGCACGAAAGCGUGGGGAUCAAACAGG